CCAAGGCGAUGAUGCAUAGCCGAGUUGAGAGACUGAUCGGCCACAAUGGGACUGAGACACGGCCCAUACUCCUACGGGAGGCAGCAGUAGGGAAUCUUCCACAAUGGGCGCAAGCCUGAUGGAGCAACACCGCGUGAGUGAAGAAGGGUUUCGGCUCGUAAAGCUCUGUUGUUAAAGAAGAACACGUAUGAGAGUAACUGUUCAUACGUUGACGGUAUUUAACCAGAAAGUCACGGCUAACUACGUGCCAGCAGCCGCGGUAAUACGUAGGUGGCAAGCGUUAUCCGGAUUUAUUGGGCGUAAAGAGAGUGCAGGCGGUUUUCUAAGUCUGAUGUGAAAGCCUUCGGCUUAACCGGAGAAGUGCAUCGGAAACUGGAUAACUUGAGUGCAGAAGAGGGUAGUGGAACUCCAUGUGUAGCGGUGGAAUGCGUAGAUAUAUGGAAGAACACCAGUGGCGAAGGCGGCUACCUGGUCUGCAACUGACGCUGAGACUCGAAAGCAUGGGUAGCGAACAGGAUUAGAUACCCUGGUAGUCCAUGCCGUAAACGAUGAGUGCUAGGUGUUGGAGGGUUUCCGCCCUUCAGUGCCGGAGCUAACGCAUUAAGCACUCCGCCUGGGGAGUACGACCGCAAGGUUGAAACUCAAAGGAAUUGACGGGGGCCCGCACAAGCGGUGGAGCAUGUGGUUUAAUUCGAAGCUACGCGAAGAACCUUACCAGGUCUUGACAUCUUGCGCCAACCCUAGAGAUAGGGCGUUUCCUUCGGGAACGCAAUGACAGG
rnacentral:rRNA from 1 species